rnacentral:rRNA from 1 species
GACGAACGCUGGCGGCGUGCUUAACACAUGCAAGUCGAACGAUGAACCUCGAAAUGAUUUCUUCGGAAAGAUUUUUGAGAGGAUUAGUGGCGAACGGGUGAGUAACGCGUGAGCAACCUGCCUUAGACAAGGGGAUAGCCUCGGGAAACCGUGAUUAAUACCCUAUGAGACUCCACUUACGAGUGUAAGAGAAGUUAAAGCUAUUGCGGUCUAAGAUGGGCUCGCGUCUGAUUAGCUAGUUGGUGAGAUAAAAGCCCACCAAGGCGACGAUCAGUAACCGGCUUGAGAGAGUGAACGGUCACAUUGGAACUGAGACACGGUCCAAACUCCUACGGGAGGCAGCAGUGGGGAAUAUUGCACAAUGGGGGCAACCCUGAUGCAGCGACGCCGCGUGAGCGAUGAAGGAAUUCGUUUCGUAAAGCCCUGUCCUUGGAGAAGAUAAUGACGGUAACCAAGGAGGAAGCACCGGCUGAAUACGUG